UGGCGGACGGGUGAGUAAUGUCUGGGAAACUGCCCGAUGGAGGGGGAUAACUACUGGAAACGGUAGCUAAUACCGCAUAACGUCGCAAGACCAAAGAGGGGGACCUUCGGGCCUCUUGCCAUCGGAUGUGCCCAGAUGGGAUUAGCUUGUAGGUAAGGUAACGGCUUACCUAGGCGACGAUCCCUAACUGGUCUGAGAGGAUGACCAGCCACACUGGAACUGAGACACGGUCCAG
rnacentral:rRNA from 1 species